CCGUCGUGGUAUGCAAGCCAGCCUCGGCCUCUAGCCUGGUGAACCUUCUCGUGUAGCUAAAGCUCUUACCUCUGUGUUUCCUAGGUCCCUCCUUGUGUCCUGACGUUCACCUCUCGUGACAACACCUCUCAAGAUCCAUCAAUUAACCUCUCGUGUUGGUUUCCCUUGUGGAUUCCUCCUGGCUCCUCUCAAGUCGAUUACUCGCCUCUGGACCCCAGCCUCCUUCGGACAUCAACUGGUUCCUCCCACUGAUCUGGAUCCCUUUAUCUCCCGGCGCUGAUCGGACCCCCUACCGCCUCCGCUCUCUGCUCUCCCGGACAACUGUGGCUUCACCAUCAGGCAAACGCUGAGUCCACAUCGCCUCCUCCCUGGUUCGGUCUCCCCGCUCAGUGAUCAACCCGAUCUCCCGUCCUCCUGGUUCCUGCUCGAGAUCCGUUCUGCAGAGACAGAUCGUUCCCCGUGUACCUAGUCCAAAUAAACCUUUGCAAAUCUA